GCCAAGCCUGGCUGGGGCUCUUAGUGCCAUGGUCUGGUUGAGUGGCCAGGGCUGGGUGCUAGGUUGGACUGGGUGAGCUUGGAGCUCUCUUCCAGCCUGCUUGAUUCCAUGAUUCUAAGGAGAUCUCCCAUGUCCCACCCUAGCUGGAAAACAUCUCCCAUGUGCCAGUCUGGUUGGGUGCUCUCUCCAUGAGACUUUGGGGUUUGAUUUGUUUGAUUUCCCACCUGGCUUUUAGCCAAAUCUCUCCCUGGUCAGUUUUGGUGGCAUUUGUUUGUUUUUCACUCCUCCUUCUACCCCCGCAGCACCUGAAGUGAAUUGAAGUCUCCUCCCACCCCAGCUGUGGCCACUUUGCCCUCCCUGCUCAGUGCCCUUUAUAAGCAGUGCAGGAGGAGCCCAGCCCUAAGCUGCGCCCAUUGUGGAUCGAGGGAUCCUCUGCCCGACGUCCCAGGGAGCUUAAUUGCUUUAGCCAAAAUCAAGUUGGAGAGAUGUGUGGAGCCUCAGCCACAAACCCUGACUGUUGGGGGAUGCUUUGAUAGCAGAAUGCAGAGCUGCUGGAAACCCAGCUCCUCCUUGCAAGUGGUUCAGAAGGGGACUCCCUUUGGAAAAUGGGGACAGAAACCUCUCUUUGAGAAUGAAGAUUAUGGAGGGGAAACUGAGGUGACUUCAGAGCAGAGAAGUGAUAUUUUGGAGGAAAAAGCUGAACAGGUCUAUUGGGAAGGAAGCAAAAACUCUGGAGGAAAAAUCUGAGGUAAACAAGAGGACACAAGUGACAUUUUAUAGGGGAAAAAAGUGAGUUAGUCUCUAGGGGAUAAAAAUGAAGACUGUAGGAGGGAAAAGCUGAGGUAAUUGGGUGGAACAGAG